rnacentral:rRNA from 1 species
UGGCAUCAUCAUUCAACCAAAGGAGCAAUCCGCUAUGAGAUGGACCCGCGGCGCAUUAGCUAGUUGGUGGGGUAACGGCCUACCAAGGCGACGAUGCGUAGCCGACCUGAGAGGGUGAUCGGCCACAUUGGGACUGAGACACGGCCCAGACUCCUACGGGAGGCAGCAGUGGGGAAUAUUGCACAAUGGGGGAAACCCUGAUGCAGCAACGCCGCGUGAGUGAUGAAGGUUUUCGGAUCGUAAAGCUCUGUCUUUGGGGAAGAUAAUGACGGUACCCAAGGAGGAAGCCACGGCUAACUACGUGCCAGCAGCCGCGG